GUGUCAGCAGCCGCGGUAAGACGUAGGGCGCGAGCGUUGUCCGGAUUUAUUGGGCGUAAAGAGCUCGUAGGCGGCUUGUCACGUCGACUGUGAAAACCCGCGGCUCAACCGCGGGCCUGCAGCCGAUACGGGCAGGCUAGAGUUCGGUAGGGGAGACUGGAAUUCCUGGUGUAGCGGUGAAAUGCGCAGAUAUCAGGAGGAACACCGGUGGCGAAGGCGGGUCUCUGGGCCGAUACCGACGCUGAGGAGCGAAAGCGUGGGGAGCGAACAGGAUUAGAGACCCUGGUAGUCCACGCUGUAAACGUUGGGCGCUAGGUGUGGGGGACCUCUCCGGUUCUCUGUGCCGCAGCUAACGCAUUAAGCGCCCCGCCUGGGGAGUACGGCCGCAAGGCUAAAACUUAAAGAAUUGGCGGGG
rnacentral:rRNA from 1 species